UGUUGCUUGCAAGGGCGUAUGGUGGAUGCCUUGGCAGACAGGACCGAUGAAGGACGUUUGAGGCUGCGAUAUGCCUCGGGGAGCCGCCAACAGGGCUUUGAUCCGAGGAUUUCCGAAUGGGGGAACCCACCGACCGUCAUGGGUCGGUACCGGCUUCGGCCGGGGGGUACGCAGGGAAGUGAAACAUCUCAGUACCUGCAGGAAAGGAUAUUCCGUGAGUAGUGGCGAGCGAAAGCGGAUGAUGGCCAAACCUUGCGCGUGUGAUACCCGUCGGGGGUUGCGCGCGGGGUGUUGCGGGAUCGCGUGUGCCGGCUCCGACGGGCCGGCCGGCAGUUGCAGAAAACCAUGUGUCAGGGGAACCGGGUUGAAUACCGGGCCGCAGAGGGUGAGGGCCCCGUACCUGAACGCGCAUGGUCUGCCGAUCGCGUCUCCCAAGUAGCACGGGUCCCGUGGAACCCCGUGCGAAUCCGCCCGGACCGUCGGGUAAGCCUGAAUAUUCCUGUCUGACCGAUAGCGAACGAGUACCGUGAGGGAAAGGUGAAAAGUACCCCGGGAGGGGAGUGAAACAGUCUCUGAAACCGUGCGCCUACAAUCCGUCGGAGCCCUUUUGUGGGGUGACGGCGUGCCUAUCGAAAAAUGAGUCUGCGAGUCAGUGGCAUGUGGCGAGCAUAACCCGUGUGGGGUAUGCGUAGCGAAGGCGAGUCUUAAAAGGCGUUUGAGUCGCGUGUCCUGGACCCGAAGCGGGAUGAUCUAGCCCUGAGCAGGUUGAAGCGCGGGUAAGACCGCGUGGAGGACCGAACCCACCUGGGUUGAAAACCGGGGGGAUGACUUGGGGCUAGGGGUGAAAGGCCAAUCAAAUUCCGUGAUAGCUGGUUCUCUCCGAAAUGCAUUUGGGUGCAGCGUCGGGUCAUUACGUCCCGGGGGUAGAGCUACUGGAUGCUUGCGGGCCCGUAUCGGGUACCAACAGCAACCAAACUCCGAAUACCGGUGACGCGUAUCCCGGCAGUGAGUCGGCGGGGGAUAAGCUUCGUCGUCGAAAGGGAAACAGCCCAGACCGUCGUCUAAGGUCCCGAAGCGUGUGCUAAGUGGGAAAGGAUGUGGAGUCGCAUAGACAGCCAGGAGGUUGGCUCAGAAGCAGCCACCCUUGAAAGAGUGCGUAACAGCUCACUGGUCUAGUGGUUCCGCGCCGACAAUGUAGCGGGGCUCAAGCACACCACCGAAGACGCGGCAGUAUUUUGUACUGGGUAGGAGAGCGUCCCAUGAGGGGCGAAGCGGCCGUGUGAACGCGCCGUGGACUUCAUGGGAGUGAGAAUGCAGACAUGAGUAGCGAGAGACGGGUGAAGAUCCCGUCCGCUGGAUGACCAAGGGUUCCAGGGCCACGUUCAUCGUCCCUGGGUGAGUCGGGUCCUAAGGCGAGGCCGACAGGCGUAGUCGAAUGGAUGAACGGGUCGAUAUUCCCGUACCGGCUUUCAGCCGCCAAAACCGAGGCUUGGAGUACUAACCUCCGGGUCCGGGCUUACUGCUCCUUCGGGGGCGGGAUGCCCUGGCCUGUUGGGACCGAUCCUUGUAGUAGGUCAGCGCAGGAGUGACGCAGAAGGGUAGCCGGCCGCGGAGGUGGUCUUCCGUGGUCAAGCACGCAGGGCGUGGGACAGGCAAAUCCGUCCCGCAUGGGUCCGAGGUGCGAUGAUGGGGGCCUUAUGGCCCGAUAUCCGGUGAUCCCGGCUGCCGAGAAAAGCUUCGGCGUCAGGCUCAAAGCCGCCCGUACCCCAAACCGACACUGGUGGUCAGGUAGAGAAUACCAAAGCGAUCGAGCGAAUCCUGGUCAAGGAACUCGGCAAAUCACUCCCGUUCCUUCGGUUUAAGGGAGACCCCCGAUGGUGAACCGCCUCGCGCGGGGAGCUUUUGGGGGUGGCACAGACCAGGGGGUAGCGACUGUUUACCAAAAACACAGGUGCAUGCGAAGGCGCAAGCCGCUGUAUAUGCACUGACGCCUGCCCGGUGCCGGAAGGUUAAGAGGAUCCGUCAGCCUUCGGGUGAAGCGGUGAAUUCAAGCCCCGGUAAACGGCGGUGGUAACUAUAACCAUCCUAAGGUAGCGAAAUUCCUUGUCGGGUAAGUUCCGACCUGCACGAAUGGCGUAA
rnacentral:rRNA from 1 species